rfam:Triticum aestivum genome assembly, contig: Triticum_aestivum_CS42_TGACv1_scaffold_019500_1AS
GGAUGCGAUCAUACCAGCACUAAAGAGCCGGAUCCCAUCAGAACUUCGAAGUUAUGCGUGCUUGGGCGAGAGUAGUACUACGAUGGGUGACCUCCUGGGAAGUCCUCGUGUUGUAUUCC